CCAAAAAGCUUUUACCAAAGACCUUCAGAGAAUACCAUGGAGCCUCAAAAUAUAACCCUAAGGCAAACAACAUUCCUGUUUUCUUAGGUAAUUUUUUUUCCCCCAAAUGUCUUCUUAACUAGACUUAAUGUCCAGUUGUGUAAACAGCUGAAGAUAUCCUAAUCCCUGAGAGGAUGUCAAAGAUUCAUACUUGAAUGGGGAAGAUAUUGAGGGUGUGGGGAAGAAUGGAAGGAAAACUAGCAUUAACUAUUAAACACGGACAAGAUUUUAAAAAUUACAUACCAUUUGGCACUUCUCAUCUCCAAAGUAUGCUGCCCCCAUUAAAGGCAAGGAAAGGCAAGCUUCUCACCGUGGCAAAUUGGCCUAAUUAUGCUUUCUCUCUCCUCAACUGGGAAGGGUUUGCAUGCACUGGUUUAAAAACAUGCUUCCUAUGAGUGACCGCCUUUGCUCUGGAUGGGAAUGCAGUUACCCUAUCCGCACCGGUUUGAUGCGGUCUCUCAUUUUACAAACUGGACUUGGAACCACUUAACAAAAGGCAAUAAGCAAAUGCAUGUGGAAAAUAUGCAAGUCAGCUCUCCAGGCCAGAGUCCCGGGCAUGUUCUUAGAACAGAAACCCUGCUCUCAGCUUUAUUUUGCUGCAGGAGCUUGGGGCAGGUCAGUGGUUCAGGGUCUGCGUGUUGAAGGCAAGGUUGGAAAUAAAGACGUUCCUGAUGUGCCUCACCCUCCACAAACAGAGUGUGUCCCUGAUACUGGAUACCACCCGGCUGCUGGAGACCCUUGGGCUGAGAGUCUGAGGCUCUGACGUUGCAAUUCAAACCCCAGAGCGCAGCGGAUUUUCAUCUGGGUUUCAGAGGAGGCAUUAUCUUCACUUUGUUUCUGGACACUGGAGCUGAACCCCCUCCCCCAGAGAUAAGAACAAACAGAAUGUGUUCUGUCUUCCCAAAGAUGCUACAUCAGCAUGUAUUUUCCACUUAAGGCUUUUAAGCAUUUGACUUACACAUUUAUGAACACCCCCAGUGGACCGUUAGGGUUUGGUUUAAUCCCCAAGAAAACUGGCAUUAAAAUAGACCUUUUCCCGGCAAUAAUAAUCUCAUUUACGAUAAAUUAUUCUAUUCUCAGUACCUUUGAGACACAUGAGAGCUUUUAUGUAAUAAAGAAGCCAUUUAUUUCCGAAUA